GACUUUUGUUGAAAAUAAUAUGAUGAUUUUGUGAUUGAACCAUUGAUUGAAGAUGUACCAGACGAGGGCGUGUGCAUGACAACCAUUGAUUGAAGAUGUCCAAGUCUGUGUUAACAUUAAAUGUUGGUGGAGUACUCUAUACAACCACUACAGCCACCCUGUUGAAGUUUCCUGAAUCUAUGCUGGGCUCUCUGCUUGGCCGUGGUAUGCCAAGCACUAAAGAUGCAAAUGGUCAUCUUUUUAUUGACAGAGAUGGUCAUACCUUCAGACACAUUCUCAAUUUUUUAAGAUGCUCCCAGCUGUGCCUGCCAGCCAACUUUAAAGAGUUAGACCUGCUGAGUGCUGAGGCGGACUUCUAUCAGAUCUCUCCUCUCAUAGACGCCAUCAAUGACUUGAGAGAUAAGAGGAAAGGGCACACAUUUUACUUAGAGAUAAUUGAAGUUAGAACAGGCUCAACAGCCACAAUGCCAACGUGUAAUUCAAGGGUCAAGACUAUUUUACUGGGGCGCACAGACAUUCUUCUCACCCUGCCCCCUGUUGUCAUUGGCUCUGAUAGCAGUGAAAGGUUGAGCUGUAAAGAGCCGUAUGAGUACACAGAACUUGAGUUGUUUGGCAGCCCUGUGCGCCUAAGGGUUGGGGAAGAGCUACAUAAUUUAGGCUGGACUUUAAUUUCCUCAGAUCUUUCAACUUCUUCAGGCUUUGAUAAUAAAUCUCAAAUAGGCAUGAGCCUUAUCAUAGAACAUACAUUUAGAGAUAGAUGGUGUCGAGAGUUUGCUCCAGAUGAACCAAUCAAAAUAAAUCCAAAUCAUACCAUGUUAUUGGAGGAUGCCAAUGUGUGACUCAUCAAGGAUGUGUCCUUGCUACCAUUCAGCUGCAUUGAUUUCAUCUGUCCCUCCAACUAGGACAGGCUAGCAGCUCAUACACCUGCAUUGAUUUCAUCUGUCUUUCCAACUAGGACAGGCUAGCAGCUCAUACAGGUGCAUUGAUUUCAUCUGUCCUUCCAACUAGGACAGGCUAGCAGCUCAUACAGGUGCAUUGAUUUCAUCUGUCCUUCCAACUAGGACAGGCUAGCAGCUCUAACUUAUGAAACUGUUCUUUUGUAUGAACUGUUCUUUUUGUUCUAAAAUGUCUUGUUUAUUGCUCUAAAGAAUGCAUUUGUAUUUAAGUGAUUAGAUCAAAGUUGUUCUAAAUUUCCAAGUUUGUCUGGCUAAUUGCCUAUUGGAGUAUUGAAUCUGUUCAAUGAAAAAUGUGAAUGACAGACGUAACUCUGUUGUGUAGAGUUUCAGCUGUAGUAGUCUGUUGUGUAGAGUUUCAGCUGUAGUAGUCUGUUGUGCAGAGUUUCAGCUGUAGUAGUCUGUUGUGCAGAGUUUCAGCUGUAGUAGUCUGUUGUGCAGAGUUUCAGCUGUAGUAGUCUGUUGUGCAGAGUUUCAGCUGUAGUAGUCUGUUGUGCAGAGUUUCAGCUGUAGUAGUCUGUUGUGCAGAGUUUCAGCUGUAGUAGUCUGUUGUGCAGAGUUUCAGCUGUAGUAGUCUGUUGUGUAGAGUUUCAGCUGUAGUAGUCUGUUGUGCAGAGUUUCAGCUGUAGUAGCUGUAGUAUUCAGCUGGGUGAAUUUUGUUUUUGUUGGCUGGGUUUGCGUGAGUGCUUAACCCUUUCCCCGGCAACAUAUUUGGUACCCUGUCCCCGGCAACUGGGUGGAUCACACCCAAAGACUUUCUUAUAGUAAAUUCUUUUCUUUGUUCAUUGUGGGGUGGGUAACAAUACUGACACAGUUGAGGUAUUUAGGGAACAGAGGCCAUGGGGAACACAAGACAUGUUGUCAAUGGGAGAGCUGUAAUAUGAUAGUAAUAUGAUACUAGUGGUUGGUGGGAUUCUCAAGCUAGAGUUAACCUGUGGGUGGACACAUGUAGUGAUUUAUACUCUUUGCUAGAGCUCUGACUUGCAGUUACAGACAGAACUGUAGUUUAGAGUUACAAUAGGUUAAUGAAAUGCAGGGGUAAGAUUGCCUGUGGGAGGACAUUUAUAGUGAUUUGUACUCUUUUAGGGAGCUCUAGAAUGUAGAUAGAGACAUUCGAGCCUUUUAGAGUAACUUGACAUUUACCUCAUUAGGAGUACGAAUGAGGACAAAAAGGCAAAACAACUUUGUAAUGCUGCUUGUAAGUUAAUACUGGGCAAUUAAUUGAUCAAACUGGAAGUGGGGUGGGUGUUCUACAGGUUGUGACCCUGAGAGUAAGGUUUAUAAAUAGUCACAAACGUUAUUGAGAACACAACAGAAACAAGUCUUGAACGCUUUUGUCUAAACUCAAGUGCUAAUGAUAAAGGAAUAUAUUUGCCAGUUUUAGUAUAGCAGGUGAAAAUGACCAACAAGUUUUGAGUCUGAACUAUUAGUAUCAGAGGUAGAAGAUGAAGAAUGGCAGCCAACAGUAUCAAGCAGCUCUGAUGACGAGGUCUACCCACUAUACUGCAUUUCAACUAUCAAUAAUGUGUCAACAGUUGGCACUCAUAAUGAAAUGAAACGGCUGGUGCAAAGUGAAGAAAAAGAAAUAUUUUCAGGAAAGACAAAGUAACAGUACACUAGACCACUGCCUGAAGUGCUAAUCCCAGGAAAUUUACAAACAGUCUGACCCUAAAUAUUUCUUCUGUGCAUGAAUACAAAAAAUAAUACAACCAAUAUUUGACUGCAUUAGCAGAGAUGGAGAGAAAGCAAGAGGAGACACUGGCACUCUGCAGAAUAACAAUUUAGUUGUAUGUCAAUUCAGUUCUGCUUAUGGAAGUUUUUGAAGGCAGAAUUUUCUAUGAAGAAAUUCAGCAACCUUCUGGGUCAUAUUCACUUCACAACAAUAACACUAACAGUCCAUCAGGCUCAUGGUAUAUUUGCUUCCAUUAUGGUAGAUAUUCCAUUCAAAUUUAGAAAGGUGUUAUGUUUCUGGAGAGAUCAUUACUAAUUAGCAAGUGGUUGAUUUUAGAGGUGGGAGUAGAUUUAUCCAAUACAUACCAAGCAAUUCCGAUAAGUAUGGAAUUAAAAUAUUUUGGACAUGUGACUCAUGUAACACCACUAAAAGGGUGGCCAUAUUUUAUAAAAAAAAAACAACUAAAGUUCCCUGCCAGCAAAAGGAAAUGUCCAGUUAUUUUAAUUUUAACUAACAACUGUGCUCUCUGAGGUGCACAUUUUUAAAACGUGUUAAUGUUCUAAUAUUUUGUUACUAAAGUUGAUUACUUCAAUUGGUUUGAUAUUUUUGUUACUCAAAUACCUUCAGAUUGUUAAUUUAUAGUUAAACUUUGAAAAUGUAACACAAUGACUUAACCCACAAUGAGUAAAAUCAAAUUGUUAGAAGCCAGUUUAUAAGUUAUACAUUUUUUUUUUCAUUCAAAAUUGUGUACGGGUGUGUAGCACCCAGUUGCCAGGGACCGUAUAAAAAAAUUUCAAACCCUCAUAAAAAAAAUUUUUACGCAUAUUUUUAAAAUUUACAACCUCCAAUGUGUUCAUCCUAACCACCUUAUAGAUGGGAAUGAGGCCCAGAAAAAUUUAUAAAACGAGACUCGAGAUAUGAGCAAAAAUAUAGCGACUUCGGGUCGAUUACACCCAGUCGCCGGGGAAAGGGUUAAGUACAGGACAUGUUACUUGCUUGCGUGAGUGAUUAAGUAGAGAACAUGUUACCUGCUUGUGUGAGUGCAUAAGUAGAGAACAUGUUACCUGCUUGUGUGAGUGCUUAAGUAGAGAACAUGUUACCUGCUUGAGUGAGUGCUUAAGUAGAGAACAUGUUACCUGCUUGUGUGAGUGCUUAAGUAGAGAACAUGUUACCUGCUUGAGUGAGUGCUUAAGUAGAGAACAUGUUACCUGCUUGUGUGAGUGCUUAAGUAGAGAACAUGUUACCUGCUUGUGUGAGUGCUUAAGUAGAGAACAUGUUACCUGCUUGAUAAAUCCAGAUGUCUGAUGUUGUCAGCCUUAUAGACCUUUUUAUCACUAUCAGCCACACUCUCUCAUGCUCAGGCCAUUGUGGAAUUUUGUGUCUUCUCUAAAAUUGUUAUUCUUUCGUUUGGUUGAUCAUGUUCAUGUAUGAUUGAAGAUUUUUAUAAUGUAUGUAGAUACUGUUAAAUUAAAUAAUGUAAUGCCUGUUAUGUUAAAAUUGUAAAACAAAUUUUAUCUGAAUGCAAUA